ensembl:ncRNA lncRNA:CR44584 long non-coding RNA:CR44584
AUCUGGUUUUUUUUUUAUAGAUUGCAAUAGUUGGCAAUAAUCAGCGAGACCGCGCCGUGCAUAUUAAUUACUCGGCCAGCAGUAACUAGUAAUGGAACCGCACUCACCGCACCGCUCCAGCACCACCACCGCCCGCCCACUCCUCAUCCACCUCCUUCCCGUACACCACCCGCCAUAAUUCUAAUGUCGACCCAGACAUGCCGCAGUCACACGUUCAAAUUACCCCAAUUUCGUGCGGGCAGCGACGGCGAAUAUGUAAAAAAGUGUUCAUAAAUGAAAUGUGAGGGACAGAGCCAUCGGUUAAGCACUGAAAAAAAAAAAACUGAAUAAGAUGGUUAGAUAUUUCAAUUAGGUU